rnacentral:tRNA from 1 species
GCAUUGGUGGUUCAGUGGUGGAAUUCUCACUUGCCAGGCUGGAGACCAGAGUCCGAUUCCCGGCCAAUGCA